GGAUAGAGUUGUCCCCGGUCUCGAGUUCCGUACCAUACCCCUCCUCGGGCCUCAGUAGCCCUAGCUGGCCGGCACAAGAUCAGCUGAUACCACGGGCUGGUGUCGUGAAAGCUCUUCGGUGCCAACCCUCAACAAAGCCAAGUCAGAUACGGUGCCUACCAGAUUGUAGAGUCUGAGCUUCCUAAUGGUGGAAAACCUUCUGGCGGUGGCAUCAGGUGUAACUAUGGCAACCUUGGAAGGCAAGUGCAAUCUGAAAGCCGGGCAGAAGGCUGGAAGCUAGAGAGAGAGUGGUGGGGACACUGAGUUCCUAUCUGGCACUAUUCCUGCCUAUUCACUGACUUGGUGACAAGGUUCUCUUUUGAAGAAAAGCAGAGGGAAACUUGUAGACGGUGUUUUGCCCUUUUGAGGUUUUAUGCAGGGGGUGACGACUCCAUGCUCCUCUCUCUCACACAAGUUCACCUGUUCUGUACUACUGGUCUCCAAAGUGGGGUGCA
rnacentral:lncRNA from 1 species